UGCAGUCGAGCGCACUCUUCGGAGUGAGCGGCGGACGGGUUAGUAACGCGUGGGAACAUACCUUUCGGUAAGGAAUAGCCACUGGAAACGGUGAGUAAUACCUUAUACGCCCUUCGGGGGAAAGAUUUAUCGCCGAGAGAUUGGCCCGCGUUAGAUUAGAUAGUUGGUGGGGUAACGGCCUACCAAGUCUACGAUCUAUAGCUGGUUUUAGAGGAUGAUCAGCAACACUGGGACUGAGACACGGCCCAGACUCCUACGGGAGGCAGCAGUGGGGAAUCUUGGACAAUGGGCGCAAGCCUGAUCCAGCCAUGCCGCGUGAGUGAUGAAGGCCUUAGGGUCGUAAAGCUCUUUCGCCAGAGAUGAUAAUGACAGUAUCUGGUAAAGAAACCCCGGCUAACUCCGUGCCAGCAGCCGCGGUAAUACGGAGGGGGUUAGCGUUGUUCGGAAUUACUGGGCGUAAAGCGUACGUAGGCGGACCAUUAAGUUGGGGGUGAAAUCCCGGGGCUCAACCCCGGAACUGCCUCCAAAACUGCUGGUCUUGAGUUCGAGAGAGGUGAGUGGAAUUCCGAGUGUAGAGGUGAAAUUCGUAGAUAUUCGGAGGAACACCAGUGGCGAAGGCGGCUCACUG
rnacentral:rRNA from 1 species